GACGUAGGGCGCGAGCGUUGUCCGGAUUAUUGGGCGUAAAGAGCUCGUAGGCGGCUUGUCGCGUCGUUCGUGAAACCUGCAGCUCAACUGCAGGCUUGCGGUCGAUACGGGCAGGCUAGAGUUCGGUAGGGGAGACUGGAAUUCCUGGUGUAGCGGUGAAAUGCGGCAGAUAGUCAGGAGGAACACCAGAGGUGAAGACGGGUUGCUGGGCCGACACUGACGCUGACAGCGCGAAAGCCAGGGGAGCAAACGGG
rnacentral:rRNA from 1 species